UGGCACCAGCAGAUCUGCCUGUGCAUGGACUUCCUGUACUACCUCACUCCUGAGGGGAGAUGUUUCUGCAGGGCCUAUGACCUGGUGCACAACUUUAGACACCAUCAUCCUGGAGCAGCACUGCACCCUCACUAGCCAGAGUGUUGACAUCCUCAAGGCCAGGGCCACAUUCAAGACUUUGGACUUCAUUGAUGCACUUGUGCUGAGCAAGCUUAUCUGAUCUCCUGGGAUCUCUACUAGGAUGCUGGCAGCCCAGCCAGCUGGUCUGGCCCUGGACGUGCCUUCAGGUGCUGGUUAUGCUUUAUGACCUGUGUUGUGAUCCUGGUCAGAGUAAAACAUUCCAUGGGAACUCGGGCUGUGAGAAACAUCCUAACCACCUGACUGCAGAAACAUCCUUAUCACAUCCUGCUGGGCAAGGGCCCAACAGCCUGACUUCAGGAACAUCCUUAUCAUCUUCUACUGAGCAGCAAGCUAUACUGUCCAGAGCCCUCCCUCCCAGCCCCAUGAUUACCCCAGCCUGUAAGUGGCAGUGGGCGCUGACACUAAGCUGGUUUCCCCCUCCGCAGGGUUUUGCUAGUAAUAAACCUGUGUUGCUGUUG
rnacentral:lncRNA from 1 species